UUCUAUGGCCAUACCACCCUGAAUGCACCCAAUCUCAUCUGAUCUUUGAAGAAAAGAAGGGUGGGUCCUGGUUAAUACUAGUAUAGGUGAUACCAGGGCCUGAGCUU
rfam:Fukomys damarensis contig120363, whole genome shotgun sequence.